AUUGAACGCUGGCGGCAGGCCUAACACAUGCAAGUCGAGCGGAGCGGCGGACGGGUGAGUAAUACCUAGGAAUCUGCCUGCUAGUGGGGGAUGACGUCCGGAAACGGGCGCUAAUACCGCAUACUCUCAGAUGAGCCUAGGUCGGUUGAGCUAGUUGGUGGGGUAAAGGCCUACCAAGGCGACGAUCCGUACCUGGGCUGAGAGGAUGAUCAGUCACACUGGAACUGAGACACGGGCCAGACUCCUACGGGAGGCAGCAGUGGGGAAUAUUGGACAAGGGGCGAAAGCCUGAUCCAGCCAUGCCGCGUGUGUGAAGAAGGUCUUCGGAUGGUAAAGCACUUUAAGUUGGGAGGCGUUACCAACAGAAUAAGCACCGGCUAACUUCGUGCCAGCAGCCGCGGUAAUAC
rnacentral:rRNA from 1 species